rnacentral:rRNA from 1 species
AGCAGCCGCGGUAAUUCCAGCUCCAAUAGCGUAUAUUAAAGUUGUUGCAGUUAAAAAGCUCGUAGUUGAAUUUCGGGGUUAGCAGGUCGGUCGUGCCAUCGGUAUGAACUGGUCUCGCUGAUCCCUCCCUCUUGACGAACUGUGAUGCCAUUAAUUUGGUGUCGCAGGGAAUCAGGACUGUUACUUUGAAAAAUUAGAGUGUUUAAAGCAGGCUCACGCUUGAAUACAUUAGCAUGGAAUAAUGAAAUAGGACGUUUGAUCCUAUUUUGUUGGCUUCUAGGAUUGACGUAAUGAUUAAUAGGGAUAGUUGGGGGCAUUAGUAUUCAAUUGUCAGAGGUGAAAUUCUUGGAUUUAUUGAAGACUAACUACUGCGAAAGCAUUUGCCAAGGAUGUUUUCAUUAAUCAAGAACGAAAGUUAGGGGAUCGAAGACGAUCAGAUACCGUCGUAGUCUUAACCAUAAACUAUGCCGACUAGGGAUCGGAUGAUGUUAAUUUUUAUG